rfam:Sarcophilus harrisii ctg7180002441305, whole genome shotgun sequence.
UUGUUAAUGCUAAUCGUGAUAGGGGUUUUUCUCUUUUAUUUCUGACUGACUCCUACAUGUUAGCAUUAACAG